UGGUGGAGUGAUUUGUCUGCUUAAUUGCGAUAACGAACGAGACCUUAACCUGCUAAAUAGCCAGGCUAGCUUUGGCUGGUCGCCGGCUUCUUAGAGGGACUAUCGGCUCAAGCCGAUGGAAGUUUGAGGCAAUAACG
rnacentral:rRNA from 1 species